UACGGAGGGUGCAAGCGUUGUCCGGAUUUAUUGGGUUUAAAGGGUGCGUAGGCGGCCCGUUAAGUCAGUGGUGAAAGCCUCCAGCUCAACCGGAGAACUGCCAUUGAUACUGGCGGGCUUGAGGACAGGAGAGGAACGCGGAAUUCCAGGUGUAGCGGUGAAAUGCGUAGAUAUCUGGAGGAACACCGGUGGCGAAGGCGGCGUUCUGGACUGUUUCUGACACUGAAAAACGAAAGCCAGGGGAGCAAACGGG
rnacentral:rRNA from 1 species